rnacentral:rRNA from 1 species
CUGGCGGCAUGCCUUACACAUGCAAGUCGAACGGCAGCGCGGGCUUCGGCCUGGCGGCGAGUGGCGGACGGGUGAGUAAUGCAUCGGAACGUGCCCAGGAGUGGGGGAUAACGUAGCGAAAGUUACGCCAAUACCGCAUACGUACUGAGGUAGAAAGCGGGGGAUCGAAAGACCUCGCGCUCAUGGAGCGGCCGAUGUCGGAUUAGCUAGUUGGUGGGGUAAAAGCUCACGAAGACGACGAUCCGUAGCUGGUCUGAGAGGACGACCAGCCACAUUUUCUCUGAGACACGGAUCAGACUCCUACG